rnacentral:rRNA from 1 species
UCGAAUUGAGGGCAGGCAGCGGCGGUAAGACGUGGGGGGGAAGCGUGGUCCGGAAUCAUGGGGCGGAUAGGGCGGGUAGGGGGCCCGAUAAUGCCGCUGGGAAAGUCCAGGGCUCAACCCUGGAAUGCCGGUGGAUACUGUCGGGCUCGAAUCCGGAAGAGGUGAGUGGAAUUCCUGGUGUAGCGGUGAAAUGCGCAGAUAUCAGGAGGAACACCAAUGGCGAAGGCAGCUCACUGGGACGGUAUUGACGCUGAGACGCGAAAGCGUGGGGAGCAAACAGGAUUAGAUACCCUAGUAGUC